GAUUUCCGCAGGUAGGGCACACGGUGGAUGCCUUGGCGUCUGGGGCCGAUGAAGGACGUGGCCAGGCGACGAUACGCCUCGGGAAGCCGCGGGCAGGCUGUGAUCCGAGGAUCUCCGAAUGGGGCAACCCGAUCCGGGUCAUACCGGAUCACCCCCGGCUGAAUCGAUAGGCCGGGUGGAGGGAACCGGGGGAACUGAAACAUCUCACUACCCCGAGGAAGAGAAAGCAUUCCCGUAGUAGCGGCGAGCGAACCGGGAGCAGCCCAAACCGGGCUGGUGGCACAGGCUGCCGCCGAUGCCAGUCCGGGGUUGUACGGCCGAAGAGGAGGCGCGGCAGGGCCUCCCCGGAGUGAGCAACCAGCUGUCCAGCCGAACGCUGCUGGAAGGGGCGACCGGAGCGGGUGAGAGUCCCGUAGGCGGUCGACAGCUGGCUCCGCUUCGGUGCGUGAGUACCGCGGGACACGCGGAAUCCCGUGGGAAGCUGGGUGGACCACCAUCCAAGGCUCAAUACCCCAGAUGACCGAUAGCGAACCAGUACCGUGAGGGAACGGUGAAAAGCACCCCGGCGAGGGGAGUGAAACAGAGCCUGAAACCGUGUGCUCCCAGACUGUCAGAGCCCCUUUGGGGGUGAUGGCGUGCUUAUUGGAGAACGAACCGGCGAGUGACCGUCCGUGGCUAGGCUAAGGGAGGCCUACCCGGAGCCGGAGCGAAAGCGAGUCUGAACAGGGCGCGUGAGUCGCGGGCGGUCGACCCGAAACCAGGUGAGCUACCCAUGACCAGGCUGAAGCGCGGGUAAGAGCGCGUGGAGGGCCGCACCGACGUCUGUUGCAAAAGGCGCGGAUGAGUUGUGGGUAGAGGUGAAAUGCCAAUCGAACUUGGAGAUAGCUGGUUCUCCCCGAAAUGCCUUGAGGGGCAGCCUUGUGGCAGCGACCACCGGAGGUAGAGCACUGGAUCGACGCGGGGGCUUCACCGCUUACCAACUCGAACCAAACUCCGAAUGCCGGCUGGUUGGCCACAGGAGUGAGACGGCGGGUGCUAAGAUUCGUCGUCGAGAGGGAAACAACCCAGACCACCGGCUAAGGUCCCUCAGUGUGGACUCAGUGGACAAGGAAGUCCGGGCGCGGAGACAACCAGGAGGUUGGCUUAGAAGCAGCCACCCUUGAAAGAGUGCGUAAUAGCUCACUGGUCGAGUGUGCCCGGGCGCCGACAAUGUACCGGGGCUAAGUCCACCACCGACGCCGUGGAUGUGGAGCUUAUGCUUCAUAUGGUAGGGGAGCGUCGUCGCUGCGGUGAAGGGGAGGCGGAAGCCGACCUGGAGGGGCGACGAGUGCGAAUGCCGGUAUGAGUAGCGCGAGGAGGGUGCGAACCCCUCCCACCGAAUGUCGCAGGGUUCCGCAGCGAUGGUCAUCAGCUGCGGGUGAGUCGGGCCUAAGCCGAGGGCGCGAGCCGUAGGCGAUGGACAACCGGUCAACAUUCCGGUACCAGACCGACUCCGUGAUGAGUGCCACGGGGACGCAGGGGGGUAGGCCCAGCGGCGCGAGCCGUCCAAGCGUGUAGCCUUCGGGUGAGGCGUGAUGGUCAGGUGUGGAGACCCCACACCAAGUGGGUUGAGCCCGAACUGCCAAGAAAAGCCGUGGGUGCCAGGGGCUGUCUGCCCGUACCGCAAACCGACACAGGUCGACAGGUCGAGCAGACCAAGGUGGACGGGAGACCCCUCGUUAAGGAACUCGGCAAAAUGGCCCCGUAACUUCGGGAGAAGGGGCACCCCAGUAGGGUGAAGGCCCAUGCGGCUGGAGCCUGAGGGGGUCGCAGUGAGCAGGCCCAGGCGACUGUUUACCAAAAACACAGGUCUCUGCGAAGGCGCAAGCCGACGUAUAGGGGCUGAUGCCUGCCCAGUGCCGGAAGGUUAACCGGAGGAGUGCAAGCU
rnacentral:rRNA from 1 species